rnacentral:rRNA from 1 species
UACGUAGGCAGCAAGCGUUGUUCGGAGUUACUGGGCGUAAAGGGUGCGUAGGCGGUCCUAUAAGUAUGGUGUGAAAUCUCCCGGCUUAACUGGGAGGGUGCGCUAUAGACUGUGGGACUAGAGUGUGGGAGAGGAAAGUGGAAUUCCUGGUGUAGCGGUGAAAUGCGUAGAUAUCAGGAGGAACACCGGUGGUGUAAACGGCUUUCUGGACCAUAACUGACACUGAGGCACGAAAGCGUGGGUAGCAAACAGG